AUUGAACGCUGGCGGCAGGCCUAACACAUGCAAGUCGAACGAGUGGCGGACGGGUGAGUAAGGUCUGUGACACUGCCUGAUGGAGGGGGAUAACUACUGGAAACGGUAGCUAAUACCGCAUACCAUCAGAUGGGCCCGGCGGGGAUUAGCUUGUUGGUGGGGUAACGGCUCACCAGGGCGCCGAUCCCUAGCUGGUCUGAGAGGAUGACCAGCCACACGGGAACUGAGACACGGUCCAGACUCCUACGGGAGGCAGCAGUGGGGAAUAUUGGACAAUGGGCGCAAGCCUGAUGCAGCCAUGCCGCGUGUAUGAAGAAGACCUUCGGGUUGUAAAGUACUUUAAGUGGGGAGGCGUUACCAGCAGAAGAAGCACCGGCUAACUCCGUGCCAGCAGCCGCGGUAAUAC
rnacentral:rRNA from 1 species